GAUGAACGCUGGCGGCGUGCUUAACACAUGCAAGUCGAACGAUGAAGCCCGGCUUGCUGGGUGGAUUAGUGGCGAACGGGUGAGUAACACGUGAGUAACCUGCCCUUAACUCUGGGAUAAGCCUGGGAAACUGGGUCUAAUACCGGAUAGGAGCGUCCACCGCAUGGUGGGUGUUGGAAAGAUUUAUCGGUUUUGGAUGGACUCGCGGCCUAUCAGCUUGUUGGUGAGGUAAUGGCUCACCAAGGCGACGACGGGUAGCCGGCCUGAGAGGGUGACCGGCCACACGAGGACUGAGACACGGCCCAGACUCCUACGGGAGGCAGCAGUGGGGAAUAUUGCACAGUGGGGGCAAGCCUGAUGCAGCGACGCCGCGUGAGGGAUGACGGCCGUCGGGUUGUAAACAUCUUUCAGUAGGGAAGAAGCGAAAGUGACGGUACCUGCAGAAGAAGCACCGGCUAACUACGUG
rnacentral:rRNA from 1 species